rnacentral:lncRNA from 1 species
UCAAAGGAAAAAGGAGGUGGACAGCACUAUUUCAUCCAAAGCAAAAAGACUAGAAGGCUGGGACAACUGUCCUAUAUGCAAGAGUCAUCAGAAGUAUUCCAGGUCUGUGAGAAGAAACUACUCAAGAAGAAUGCACCUAUGCAGUUUUAAAAAAAAUAUAUUUCUGUAAUCUGAAAGAUUACAGAAGAAUAUGUUUCUGUAAUGUUUAAUUUCAGUUUGGUAUGAAAUUAAAAUAUGUUUGUCAAAAG